GCUAUUCAAUGGCGGUGCUUGCGGUUUUUUCUUAAAAAGGAAGAAUUUGUAAAAGGGUAAAAUUUUAGUGGAUUUUUGUUGGGAAAGUGCGAUUGUUGAGUGAGGGGAAGGAACCCCAGAUUUUGAUUUUGGUGGAUUUUUUUGGUGUAUGGUGUGAAUCGUAUUGGAAUUUGAGUUGGGUUUGUGGAAUGGAGGGUGGUGUGGUGAGAUCAGAACGGAGAGGGAGGAAAAGGAGAAGAAAGGAUGUUACAAAUGUGGAGGUUGAUUAGGAUGGAAAGAAAAGGGCUGUUGGGUUGAAGCCUAAAUCAUUGGUGGGUAGGUAUGUGAGGAAGGAAUUUGAGGGA
rnacentral:misc_RNA from 1 species